rnacentral:rRNA from 1 species
CCCGACUGCUAUCCGGGUGGGACUAAGCCAUGCAAGUCAAAUGGGAUACCUAAAUUUCCCAUGGCAAACUGCUCAGUAACGCGUGGUCAACUUACCCUAUGGUGGGGGAUAUCCUCGGGAAACUGAGGCUAAUACCCCAUAGGUGAAGAGGCUUGGAACAGUUCUUCAUCAAAAGGGCUUGACGAACGGGUCAAGUACCGCCAUAGGAUAGGACCGCGUCCGAUUAUGGUCGUUGGCGAGGUAAAGGCUCACCAAGCCAAUAAUCGGUAAGGGCCGUGAGAGCGGCAGCCCUGAGAUGGGUACUGAGACAACGACCCAGGCCUUACGAGGUGCAGCAGGCGCGGAACCUUCGCAAUGCGCGCAAGCGUGACGAGGCCACCCGGAGUGCCUUCGCCAUAGGAAGGCUGUGGCGAGUGUGUACAAUACCUCGCUAGAAAGGAGAGGGCAAGGCUGGUGCCAGCCGCCGCGGUAAAACCAGCUCUUCAAGUCGUCGGGAUAAUUAUUGGGCUUAAAGUGUCCGUAGCCGGUUUAGUUAGUCCCUGGUAAAAUCUGGAGGCUCAACUUUCAGCAUGCUGGGGAUACUGCUAAACUAGAGGGCGGGAGAAGUCCGAGGUACUCCAGGGGUAGGGGUGAAAUCCAAUAAUCCUUGGGGGACCACCAGUGGCGAAAGCGUCGGACUGGAACGCGCCUGACGGUGAGGGACGAAAGCCAGGGGAGCAAACCGGAUUAGAUACCCGGGUUGUCCUGGCCGUAAACGAUGCGCGCUAGGUGUUGGCAAGGCCACGAGCCGUGCCAGUGCCGUAGGGAAACCGUUAAGCGCGCCGCCUGGGGAGUACGGUCGCAAGACUGAAACUUAAAGGAAUUGGCGGGGGAGCACCACAAGGGGUGAAGCCUGCGGUUU